UACGUAUGGUGCAAGCGUUAUCCGGAUUUACUGGGUGUAAAGGGAGCGCAGGCAGCACGGCAAGCCUGAUGUGAAAGCCCGCGGCCCAACCGCGGGACUGCAUUGGGAACUACCGGGCUGGAGUGCCGGAGAGGUAGGCGGAAUUCCUAGUGUAGCGGUGAAAUGCGUAGAUAUUAGGAGGAACACCAGUGGCGAAGGCGGCCUACUGGACGGUGACUGACGCUGAGGCUCGAAAGCGUGGGGAGCAAACAGG
rnacentral:rRNA from 1 species